ACAAGUGGGGGAAGCCCUGAUGCAGCCAUGCCGCGUGUGUGAAGAAGGCCUUCGGGUUGUAAAGCACUUUCAGUAGGGAGGAAGGUAGUGUAGUUAACACCUGCACUAUUUGACGUUACCUACAGAAGAAGCACCGGCUAACUCCGUGCCAGCAGCCGCGGUAAUACGGAGGGUGCGAGCGUUAAUCGGAAUUACUGGGCGUAAAGCGCAUGCAGGCGGCCUGUUAAGUCAGAUGUGAAAGCCCCGGGGCUUAACCUCGGAAUUGCAUUUGAAACUGGCAGGCUAGAGUCUUGUAGAGGGGGUAGAAUUUCAGGUGUAGCGGUGAAAUGCGUAGAGAUCUGAAGGAAUACCAGUGGCGAAGGCGGCCCCUGGACAAAGACUGACGCUCAGAUGCGAAAGCGUGGGGAGCAAACAGGAUUAGAUACCCUGGUAG
rnacentral:rRNA from 1 species